UACGGAGGAUGCAAGCGUUAUCCAGAUUUAUUGGGUUUAAAGGGUGCGUAGGCGGCCUGGUAAGUCUGGAGUGAAAGUCCUGCUUUUAAGGUGGGAAUUGCUUUGGAUACUGUCGGGCUUGAGUGCAGGAGAGGUAAGCGGAAUUCCCGGUGUAGCGGUGAAAUGCGUAGAGAUCGGGAGGAACACCAGUGGCGAAGGCGGCUUACUGGACUGUAACUGACGCUGAGGCGCGAAAGUGUGGGGAGCAAACAGGAUUAGAUACCCCCGUAGUCCCUGA
rnacentral:rRNA from 1 species